rnacentral:lncRNA from 1 species
AUGGAAAAACCAAGAGAGUUCCAGAAAAUCAUCUAUUUCUGCUUUAUUGACUAUGCCAAAGCCUUUGACUGUGUGGGUCACAUCAAACUGUGGAAAAUUCUGAAAGAGAUGGGAAUAUUACCAGACCACCUAACCUGCCUCUUGAGAAAUCUGUAUGCAGGCCAGGAAGCAACAGUUAGAACCGGACAUGGAACAACAGAUUGGUUCCAAAUAGGAAAAGGAGUCCGUCAAGGCUGUAUAUUGUCACCCUGCUUAUUUAACUUAUAUGCAGAGUACAUCAUGAGAAAUGCUGGACUGGAAGAAACACAAGCUGGAAUCAAGAUUGCUGAGAGAAAUAUCAAUAACCUCAUAUAUGCAGGUGACACCACCCUUAUGGCAAAAACUGAAGAGGAACUAAAAAGCCUCUUCAUGAAAGUAAAAGAGGAGAGUAAAAAAGUUGGCUUAAAGCUCAACAUUCAGAAAACGAAGAUCAUGGCAUCUGGUCCCAUCACUCCAUGGGAAAUAGAUGGAGAAACAGUGGAAACAGUGUCAGACUUUAUUUUGGGGGGCUACAAAAUCACUGCAGAUGGUGACUGCAGCCAUGAAAUUAAAAGAUGCUUACUCCUUGGAAGAAAAGUUAUGACCAACCUAGGCAGCAUAUUCAAAAGCAGAGACAUUGCUUUGCUGACUAAGGUCCAUCUAGUCAAGGCUAUGGUUUUUCCUGUGGUCAUGUAUGGAUGUGAGAGCUGGACUGUGAAGAAGGCUGAGCACCGAAGAAUUGAUGCUUUUGAACUGUGGUAUUGGAGAAGACUCUUGAGAGUCCCUUGGGCUGCAAGGAGAUCCAACCAGUCCAUUCUGAAGGAGAUUAGCCCUGGGAUUUCUUUGGAAGGAAUGAUGCUAGAGCUGAAACUCCAAUACAUUGGCCACCUCAUGCAAAGACUUGACUCAUUGGAAAAAACUCUGAUGCUGGGAGGGAUUGGGGGCAGGAGGAGAAGGGGACAACAGAGGAUGAGAUGGCUGGAUGGCAUCACUGACUCAAUGGACGUGAGUCUGAGUGAACUCUGGGAGUUGGUGAUGGACAGGGAGGCCUGGCGUGCUGCGAUUCAUGGGGUUGCAAAGAGUCAGACAUGA